AACGCACCUUGCGCUCCUUGGUAUUCCGAGGAGCAUGCCUGUUUGAGUGUCACGUUAAUACAUCACCCUCCUUUGGUCACCUGAAGGGGUGCGUGGACUUGGACUGUGCCGUUGUUGGCUUGUCCUGAAAUGCAUUGGCCGCCUUGAGCUUGCCUCCCUGGUGUGAUAGUCAUCUACGCCUUCGGAGUGGGUUUCUUGGAGGCCUUACCGUCUUCGGACAAUCAUUGAUCUUUGACCUCAAAUCAGGUAGGACUACCCGCUGAACUUAA
rnacentral:misc_RNA from 1 species